rnacentral:rRNA from 1 species
UACAGAGGUCCCAAGCGUUGUUCGGAUUCAUUGGGCGUAAAGAGCGCGUAGGCGGUCCGAUAAGUCGGCUGUGAAAGUCAGGGGCUCAACCCUUGGAAGCCGGCCGAUACUGUCGGACUAGAGUCCGGAAGAGGCGAGUGGAAUUCCCGGUGUAGCGGUGAAAUGCGCAGAUAUCGGGAGGAACACCAAUGGCGAAGGCAGCUCGCUGGGACGGUACUGACGCUGAGGCGCGAAAGCGUGGGGAGCAAACAGGG